rnacentral:rRNA from 1 species
GCGGGAAAGGCACUUCGCCGAAUGCAUCUAGAUUAGAGUUUGAUCAUGGCUCAGAUUGAACGCUGGCGGCAGGCCUAACACAUGCAAGUCGGACGGUAGCACAGAGAGCUUGCUCUUGGGUGACGAGUGGCGGACGGGUGAGUAAUGUCUGGGGAUCUGCCCGAUAGAGGGGGAUAACCACUGGAAACGGUGGCUAAUACCGCAUAACGUCGCAAGACCAAAGAGGGGGACCUUCGGGCCUCUCACUAUCGGAUGAACCCAGAUGGGAUUAGCUAGUAGGCGGGGUAAUGGCCCACCUAGGCGACGAUCCCUAGCUGGUCUGAGAGGAUGACCAGCCACACUGGAACUGAGACACGGUCCAGACUCCUACGGGAGGCAGCAGUGGGGAAUAUUGCACAAUGGGCGCAAGCCUGAUGCAGCCAUGCCGCGUGUAUGAAGGAGGCCUUCGGGUUGUAAAGUACUUUCAGCGGGGAGGAAGGCGACGGGGUUAAUAACUCUGUCGAUUGACGUUACCCGCAGAAGAAGCACCGGCUAACUCCGUGCCAGCAGCCUUGGUAAUACGGAGGGUGCAAGUGUUUAUCGUUAUUACUGGGCGUAAAGCGCACUCAGGCGGUCUGCUAAUUCAUCAUGUGAAAUCCCCGGGCU